GGUCAAGCUACAAAGAGCACAAGGGGAAUGCCUUGGCACCGAGAGCCGAAGAAGGACGUGACUAACUGCGAUAAGCUACGGGGAGCUGUAAGUGAGCGUUAUAUCCGUAGAUUUCCGAAUGGAGCAAUCCGAUUAGAGGAAAGUCUAAUCAUCAUAUACUGAAUACAUAGGUAUAUGAGGGGAACCGCCUGAACUGAAACAUCUAAGUAGGGCGAGGAAGAGAAAUCAACUGAGAUUCCGUAAGUAGUGGCGAGCGAACGCGGAAGAGGCCAAACCUAAUGUAGUAAUAUGUUAGGGGUUCGGACAGUAAAAUGAAUUGUCGAGAUUUAGCCGAAUGUCAUGGGAAGGGCAAUCAAAGAUGGUGAAAAUCCAGUAGGCGAAAAGUUAAGACAUCAGACUGUAUCCAGAGUACCGCCGGACACGUGAAACCCGGUGGGAAUACGGGGGGACCAUCCUCCAAGCCUAAAUACUACUCGGUGACCGAUAGAGAAGAAGUACUGUGAAGGAAAGGUGAAAAGCACCCCGGAAGGGGAGUGAAAGAGAACCUGAAACCUUGUGUUUACAAGCACCGAAAGUUCAUCAACGAACGAUCGGGUACCUUUUGUAGAAUGGUCCGGCGAGUGAAUGUAACUGGCAAGGUUAAGCACUUAAGGUGUGAAGCCGUAGCGAGAGCGAGUCU
rnacentral:ncRNA from 1 species